rnacentral:rRNA from 1 species
GACGAACGCUGGCGGCGUGCUUAACACAUGCAAGUCGAACGGAAAGGCCCUGCUUUUGUUGGUUGCUCGAGUGGCGAACGGGUGAGUAACACGUGAGUAACCUGCCCUUGACUUUGGGAUAACUUCAGGAAACUGGGGCUAAUACCGGAUAGGAGCUCCUGCUGCAUGGUGUGGGUUGGAAAGUUUCGGCGGUUGGGGAUGGACUGGCGGCUUAUCCGCUUGUUGGUGGGGUAGUGGAUGACCAAGGCUUUGACGGGUAGCCGGCCUGGGAGGGUGACCGGGCACAUUGGGACUGAGAUACGGCCCAGACUCCUACGGGAGGCAGCGGGGGGGAAUAUGGCGGAGUGGGCGGGAGCCUGAGGCAGAAACGCCGCGUGCGGGAUGAUGGCCUUCGGGUUGUAAACAGAUGUGGCCUGUGACGAAGAGUGAGUGACGGUAAUGGGUAAAGAAGCACCGGCUAACUACGUG